rnacentral:rRNA from 1 species
GGCUGCAACUCGCCUACAUGAAGCUGGAAUUGCUAGUAAUCAUAGGUCAGCAUACUAUGGUGAAUACGUUCCCGGGCCUUGUACACACCGCCCGUCACACCAUGAGAGUUGAGAAUACCCGAAGUCCAUGUUAAAGUGGCCGAAGGUAGGCUUGAUGAUUGGGGUGAAGUCGUAACAAGGUAUC